ACGCACGCUGGCGGCAUGCCUAACACCUGCCAGUCGCACGAGACCUUCGGGUCUAGUGGCGCACGGGUGCGUAACGCGUGGGAACCUGCCCUUAGGUUCGGAAUAACUCCCCGAAAGGGGUGCUAAUACCGGAUAAUGUCUUCGGACCAAAGAUUUAUCGCCUUUGGAUGGGCCCGCGUUGGAUUAGCUAGUUGGUAGGGUAAAAGCCUACCAAGGCGACGAUCCAUAGCUGGUCUGAGAGGAUGAUCAGCCACACUGGGACUGAGACACGGCCCAGACUCCUACGGGAGGCAGCAGUGGGGAAUAUUGGACAAUGGGCGAAAGCCUGAUCCAGCAAUGCCGCGUGAGUGAUGAAGGCCUUAGGGUUGUAAAGCUCUUUUACCCGGGAUGAUAAUGACAGUACCGGGAGAAUAAGCUCCGGCUAACUCCGUG
rnacentral:rRNA from 1 species